AAGACUAUACUUUCAGGGAUCAUUUCUGUAAUCUGUUACUAGAGAAGAUUCUCUGAUAAUGUAGAGCACUAAAAAAAAAAAAAU
rnacentral:snoRNA from 1 species